rnacentral:rRNA from 1 species
AUGCGUCUAAUCAAAAAAACUUUUCUUAUUCGUCUUUUUCUAUCUUCCCACUCAUCUCCACUAUACCCCUCGUCUUUGAACCUCUUUCACACUCAUGUCACGUCGAGGUACUGCAGAAAAAAGAACUGCAAAAUCCGAUCCAAUUUUUCGUAA